rnacentral:rRNA from 1 species
GGAAUAUUGGUCAAUGGGCGAGAGCCUGACCCAGCCAUGCCGCGUGUAGGAUGACGGCCUUCUGGGUUGUAAACUACUUUUCUACAGGAAGAAAAAGUCCAUGCGUGGACAAUUGACGGUACUGUAGGAAUAAGCACAGGCUAACCCCGUCCCCGCAGCCGCGGUAAUACGGAGGGGGCGAGCGUUGUCCGGAUUUAUUGGGUUUAAAGGGUGCGUAGGCUGCUCUUUAAGGCAGUGGUGAAAGCCCGCAGCUUAACUGUGGAACUGCCAUUGAUACUGGAGAGCUUGAGUACGGUUGAAGUAGGCGGAAUUUAUGGUGUAGCGGUGAAAUGCAUAGAUACCAUAAAGAACACCGAUAGCGUAGGCAGCUUACUAAGCCGUAACUGACGCUGAGGCACGAAAGCAUGGGGAGCG